CGUGUGAGUUUCUAACAGAAAAUUUACAACACAUCAAUGAGAAAUUGAAAAAAGUAAAUAAAAUUAUACAUUUGUCAUUUUCGCUGUUGAGGUUACAUGAGUGCAUUAGCUGCCUUAUUUUUACAUGUUCACAAAUCAGUAUCCAGGAGAAGAGUAAAUAUAUAGAGGCUCUGCAUCCUCCCCUGAAAUGUUGUGUUCUUAAGGAAACCAGGUGCUUUUUCCAAGUUAAGAAAGAGUUUUAAAACUAUCCAUGCAUGUCCUCACAUCUAAUUUAUAAAAGAUGAUUAAAUUGAUCAUUGAAAUAUGUAUCAGAGUGAGAACUUCUCA
rnacentral:lncRNA from 1 species